rnacentral:misc_RNA from 1 species
GAAAUGCGAUAAGUAAUGUGAAUUGCAGAAUUCAGUGAAUCAUCGAAUCUUUGAACGCACAUUGCGCCCUGUGGUAUUCCGCAGGGCAUGCCUGUUCGAGCGUCAUUUAACCACUCACGCCUAGCGUGGUAUUGGGGUACGCGGUCUCGCGGCCCUCAAGAUCAGUGGCGGCGCCGGUGGGCUCUAAGCGUAGUACAUACUCCCGCUAUAGAGUUCUCCCGGUGGCUCGCCAGAACCCCCAAUUUUUUUUACAGGUUGACCUCGGAUCAGGUAGGGAUACCCGCUGAACUUAA